rnacentral:rRNA from 1 species
CAGCCGCCACGGUAACACGUAGGUGGCAAGCGUUGUCCGGAAUUAUUGGGCGUAAAGGGCUCGCAGGCGGUUUCUUAAGUCUGAUGUGAAAGCCCCCGGCUCAACCGGGGAGGGUCAUUGGAAACUGUGAAACUUGAGUGCAGAAGAGGAGAGUGGAAUUCCACGUGUAGCGGUGAAAUGCGUAGAGAUGUGGAGGAACACCAGUGGCGAAGGCGACUCUCUGGUCUGUAACUGACGCUGAGGAGCGAGAGCGUGGGGAGCGAACAGGAUUAGAUACCCGUGUAGUCCCUGUCUCUUAUAA